rnacentral:rRNA from 1 species
GACGAACGCUGGCGGCGUGCUUAACACAUGCAAGUCGAACGGUGACGGAGAGCUUGCUCUCCUGAUCAGUGGCGAACGGGUGAGUAACACGUGGGCAACCUGCCCCAGACUUCGGGAUAACGCUUCGAAAGAGGUGCUAAUACCGAAUACGAACGCCGUGGGCAUCCACGGUGUUGGAAAGUUUUUCGGUCUGGGAUGGGCCCGCGGCCUAUCGGCUUGUUGGUGAGGUAAUGGCGCACCAAGGCGACGACGGGUAGCCGGCCUGAGAGGGCGACCGGCCACACUGGGACUGAGACACGGCCCAGACUCCUACGGGAGGCAGCAGUGGGGAAUAUUGCGCAAUGGGCGAAAGCCUGACGCAGCAACGCCGCGUGGGGGAUGAAGGCCUUCGGGUUGUAAACCUCUUUCAGCAGGGAAGAAGCGAAAGUGACGGUACCUGCAGAAGAAGCACCGGCUAACUACGUGCCAGCCGCCGCCGUAA